rnacentral:rRNA from 1 species
CCUACGGGCGGCAGCAGUGGGGGAUAGUGCACAAUGGAGGAAACUCUGAUGCAGCGACGCGGCGUGAGGGAAGACGGUCUUCGGAUUGUAAACCUCUGUCUGUGGGGAAGAAAAUGACGGUACACAAAGAGGAAGCUCCGGCUAACUACGUGCCAGCAGCCGCGGUAAUACGUAGGGAGCGAGCGUUGUCCGGAAUUACUGGGUGUAAAGGGAGCGUAGGCGGGCGCGAAAGUUGAAUGUUAAAUCUACCGGCUUAACUGGUAGCUGCGUGCCAAACUUCUUGUCUUGAGUGCAGUAGAGGCAGGCGGCAUUCCUCUUGUAGCGGUGACAUGCGUCGAUAUUAGGAGG